CCAAGUUCAGCUGUAUGCGGUCACCCUGAGAUUCCUUCCUACUUGAUUAUUUCUCACAGACUUAACCAAGAAAAUAUCGUUCUGGAAGAUUGCUAGGCAGGCUUUUCCAUUGCAUUGCAGGACAACUCAGAUAAUGCAGGUCCAGUCCUCUGAGUCAUCCAGUGUGGGCUGGAGGUUUGGAACCUGGAAAUGUCUGAUCUAGGCAAGUAAUAAGCUGACGUCAAAAGACUUGGUGCACAGGUCUAUUGAAGCACCUAAGAGGAAAGACACUUCUUCAAACCUCAAAUGCUCUUUACAUCCAGCAAAUCUGGACUGGAAGUCGUUCAAUAAGAUGACUUCCCAUGAAAUGUCUGGUACUUCAUGUUUCCCGUCAGGUCAUAAAUGCCACGAGAACAGCUUUUCCUCCUCCAUUUAAAUUUGUCCAGUGCCAGUUUUGGUCUUGUCCCAAAGCCAAAAACUUUGGAGACAUUGACAGAAAAGAAAGUAAUUAACCAUAUUGGAAGAGCCCAGAGAGUUCUGUGUAGAUUCUGCUGUAGAUGCUGAGUGUACUUUGUCUACUUAUUGAAAAAAGAAAAAAAAGUGAACUGUAAAACAGCCUCAAGCAGGUCCUUCAGGAGGUAUCCAGAAGAAGGCAUUGUCAUAGGAGAUGACAGCUCCAUGCGUGUUAUUGCUCCUGAAGACCUUCCAGGAGUAGGUGCAGAGGAAUCCAAGGUGUAGGGAAUGAAAGAGCCACAAGAUGUAAGAAACCUCAGUUCCUCAAUGUAGACAUGGAAGAAAGCUUCCGGGAGCAGGCUCACUGGAUUUGGUCACAUAAUGAUCACAGAAUAAACUCUUGUGAAUCAGUGAAACUACAAAUGGUACUGCAGAUGGAACCUCGGAUGACUUCAACCAGCACCUAUUAUCAAGGACCCCUAGACUAGCCUGCCAGCCCAUACCCAGAUAUUGACACCCAAACCACCUCUCAUGAGGAAACCUCAGCUGCAGGGACCCUUCUAUGCCCCUACUCAGCAGGAAGCAGUUUCAGCGGUCAUCGUCCCACACCCAACAGCAGUUGGGCUCUCCUGUUGAGAGGGGAGACUGAGGGGUAGAGUUGGUGGGACUUCCUGGGCCGAUUGAAGGACUUUUGCAAAAGACCCCUGUGACUCAGGGUUUUGAGUUCUUAACCAUUCGAGUGAAGGAUUCAAAAUUAACCACUCUGAGGGAAGAUUGAAAAAAGAACCACUCUCAAUGGGCAAAAAGAAAGAAAGGGGAGGGGGUAACAUAGGGAUAUAAGCCCUAGCCAUCCGAGCCAGCAACAGCAACCCUUCUGGGUCCCCAUCCACCACGUGGAAGCUUUCCCUUCACUUUGUUCAAUAAACUGCACUGUUCCUCACUCUCCUGGUCCAUGGACUCUUUUUGGACUGUUAACACUCACCACGAAAGUCUGCAGCUUCAUUCUUCAAAGUUAGCAAGACCACUAAUGCAUCAGCAGGAAAAACUCCUGACUGAAUAUGACCCAACAAUUCCAUACCUAAGUAUAUAGCCAAGGGAAAUGAAUUCAUAUAUCUU
rnacentral:lncRNA from 1 species